ACCAGGGCUGUUGCAAAUAACCCCUACCUCAACUUUCUGAGGUAAGUGACUCCGACCUUUGCUCUGAGUGAGAAAAAGAAUCUUAGGUAAGACAAGAGCUGGGUUGGGUGAAGGCUACAGAACCUAGGACACUCCAAGUUCCUCAUCCCAUUACUUUCUUAAAGCAGCUACAGUAGACAGAGCCCAGCAGCUGGAACAUUGACCACUCUCAAGGUUAUGCUUGGACGCACUGUCGGUUGCUAUGGGGACCUUCUUUCCCAAGCCUGAACCAAUGCACAUUGCCACUGAUGACCUCAUGCCCUGGGUUCCAGGAUUCUAUUGGCUUUUCAGAAACCAGAGUCCAGAGUUUUCAACUGCGUCACUGUUUGUUGGGGAUCCCCCGACAACCCCAGCUAGUGUGGCUAAAAGAAUGGCAGCUGAACUCACAGAGCAUUGGAUGAAUGACUGGAGGAAGAGAAUAUGAAAAAGCAAGAAGAAAAGGAGGGGGGUCACAGAGAAAAACAACUUCGGAAUGUGUACGGCAGUUUGCAACGUGGUUAAGUCUGAAGCGGAAUCUAGGCAAGAGACUCUCAAAUCAGGGAGGCAGGGAGAGGUUAAGUUUUCGCAUCUGUACCGCUGAGACUAGGGUUGGCUUAGUAAAUUGAGGGCCCCACCCUCAGCCGGCUAGCGUUGCUGAAUUUAGGGGAGACUGGCGACGCCCCAAAACUUGCAGGCCUGCCUAACCUCUUGGAACUGUGCCUCUGAACACGCUGCCUGCGAAGACUUCUCAUGAGUAGCAGACUCUAUCAGAGCUUUCUACCAAGAAGUAUCUGGGCCUGCAACUGCCAUAGGUCCAUACCGAGAGAAAGGGUACAGAAAAAGAGGGGGACGGCUUGGCCUGAAGGUCUACAGUCUGAGGCCUAAGUAUCUGUGCCUUCUCCAGUAUCAGCUCUUGCACCUGCCGAGGCCUGGGCUGUCUGUCUGCAAAUGUGCGAAUCUGUGUCAAGCGCAGACUGAAACUGAAGCCCCGUGUCUGAACUCAAGAAAAGCCAACUAGGUUCCCCGUCCCUGUCCCUGUUGCUCAUGGGAUUGAUGCUGCCUGCCAGCGCUCCUGCUGGGUCCACGAAGAGGUGUGUCAGGCCACGGGAAGAGACGCCCUCCAGGAAGAUGGCAGCGACGGAACUCCAACGCUGGACCAAAAGACUCAGCCCACAGCUCCUCCCACAGUUCUUAGUCCGCCUUCUCUUCUCACACAAGCAUCUUUUAAUUGCUAAAGAUCAAAGUUUAGGGUCAGGACCCUAACACAUACACUUGUUAACGCGGCACUUUCUGAAAGUGGCCUCGAAUAAAGGGUUUAUUAACUCAAAAUCUA